rnacentral:rRNA from 1 species
GAAAGCCUGACGGAGCAACSCCGCGUGAGGRACGAAGGCCUUAGGGUUGUAAMCCYCUUUUCUCUGGGAAGAAGAUCUGACGGUACCWAAGGAAUCAGCMUCGGCUAACUCCGUGCCAGCAGCCGCGGUAAUACGGAGGAKGCAAGCGUUAUCCGGAAUUAUUGGGCGUAAAGCGUCCGUAGGUGGUUUUUUAAGUCUGUUGUCAAAGCSYGSRGCUCAACYCCAUAUMGGCAAUGGAAACURCGAAACUUGAGUGUGGUAGGGGUAGAGGGAAUUCCCAGUGUAGCGGUGAAAUGCGUAGAUAUUGGGAAGAACACCAGUGGCGAAG